AUGUUCCCCAGGACCUGCCUAACCAAAGCACAAGAGAAGAAAGUGCUAGAGCUAGCUGAUAGCAGCAUGAGGUCUGAAAUUCCUCUGCAUGUGGCACCUAUGAACAAAAGAAAUGCCAAUGAGGACUACUAUGUUUACAUACCACUAGGGCCUUUGGACAAUUUCGAAGAGGGGAUAACUGCAACUACCAUUCAGCUCGAAGCCCAUGGCAAUGGCAUGGUAUACUUUGUUGGCGCAAGCAAGCAACGUGACGAGCAAAUAAUCCUCGAAUCCGAGUUGAGUCAUUUUAUAGCUUCUCUCCGCAUACAAGACAAUGACCUCCUCGUCUUCAGAAGCAUGAGGAAAGAUCGCCUUGAAGUUCUUGUCCUUGACCCGAGCGGUUGUGAGAAAACUUGUUUUGCCAUGGGAAACUCUUCAAAUGCCCGAGAAGUGUGUGAAGAUCUGGUUGAGAUUGUUGAUCCACCCCCGCAUACUCUCAUUGAUUUGAGUUCUGAUGACAAUGAAUUUGUGGAAGAAGGCAGAUUUGAUGACAAUGAAGUCGUGGAAGAAGGCAUAUGA
rnacentral:rRNA from 1 species